GACGUAGGGCGCGAGCGUUGUCCGGAUUUAUUGGGCGUAAAGAGCUCGUAGGCGGCUUGUCGCGUCGACUGUGAAAUCCCGCGGCUCAACUGCGGGUCUGCAGUCGAUACGGGCAGGCUAGAGUUCGGUAGGGGAGACUGGAAUUCCUGGUGUAGCGGUGAAAUGACGCAGAUAUCAGGAGGAACACCGAUGGCGAAGGCAGGUCUCUGGGCCGAUACUGACGCUGAGGAGCGAAAGCGUGGGGAGCGAACAGG
rnacentral:rRNA from 1 species